rnacentral:rRNA from 1 species
AGGGUGUUCACCUCUUCCCAUUCCGAACAGAGAAGUUAAGUCCCUCAUGGCCGAUGGUACUGCACAACAAUGCGGGAGAGUAGGUAGCUGCCA